CUACUCGCCUGAGCAGAAAGUGUAAUGCCCUUGGGAGAGCAGACUGGCUUAAUGUACUGUAUCUCUUUUUCCAGUACCUUCUUCUAAAUCAGACUCCUUAAAAAAGAAGGCUUAACAGCACAGAAGUCAGAGAAUGCCAGCUACAUUUUAACUGGGGUCAUUCUACUAAAUUCCUGAGGAUCCCAUGGCUCAGUCCACAGGGAGAAGUGCUCUGAAUACAUAGGACAACUCUGUGUGCUUGAAGUUUAAAUUCUGAGCCUCCUACUAAAAGACAGGGAAAUACAGCACACUCCCUCUCCUCUCCUCUUUAACUACUUAUUAACUGAAACGCAAAAGCUCUUCAUCGCGGAGAGUCAUCUUCUUAAAAUGAGACCUUAUUGAAGCUGGAAAAACAGAACAUGUUGGGAGCUUUGGUUUUUAUCAAAGAGACAGCGGAUGCUUCCAUCAGGAUCACUGAGAUCUAAAUCAUUUCUACUAUUUUCUUACUUGCUACUACAGAAGAAUUUCUCAGCAUCACCAGCCUUUUGAAAACCAUCUGAGAACAGACCAGCACAGGAAGAAGCUGCCUUACAAAAGCCAGAAUCAAAAUGCGUUGGCAGUCAGGAAGGGUAUAAUGAAAGGUUUUCCAAUAUUAGUCUUUUCGUUGCAGGACAGGCUACCAUGAAAUAUGGUACCUUGGCAUUUGAGAAAACAGCAGAAGCCACGUCUCUU
rnacentral:lncRNA from 1 species